rnacentral:rRNA from 1 species
UACGUAGGGUGCGAGCGUUGUCCGGAAUUAUUGGGCGUAAAGGGCUCGUAGGCGGUUUGUCGCGUCGGGAGUGAAAACUCAGGGCUUAACCCUGAGCCUGCUUCCGAUACGGGCAGACUAGAGGUAUGUAGGGGAGAACGGAAUUCCUGGUGUAGCGGUGAAAUGCGCAGAUAUCAGGAGGAACACCGGUGGCGAAGGCGGUUCUCUGGGCAUUACCUGACGCUGAGGAGCGAAAGUGUGGGGAGCGAACAGG